rnacentral:pre_miRNA from 1 species
AUAAUACUCCCUCCGUCUAAAAAUACUCGUCGGAGAAAUGGAUGCAUCUAUAUGUGUUUUAGUUGCAGAUACACUCAUUUUUACUCAUUUCUGCGAUAAGUAAUUCCGGACGGGGGGAGUAUUUC